UACGUAGGGGCAAGCGUUGUCCGGAUUUAUUGGGCGUAAAGAGCUCGUAGGCGGCUUGUCGCGUCGGAUGUGAAAGCCCGGGGCUUAACUCCGGGUCUGCAUUCGAUACGGGCAGGCUAGAGUGUGGUAGGGGAGACUGGAAUUCCUGGUGUAGCGGUGAAAUGCGCAGAUAUCAGGAGGAACACCGAUGGCGAAGGCAGAUCUCUGGGCCGUAACUGACGCUGAGGAGCGAAAGCGUGGGGAGCGAACAGG
rnacentral:rRNA from 1 species